GGAAGGAAAGCGGAAACGGGAUUAACUAAUGCGUUCGAUUCUUAUUGUAUAGCCAUUACUUUUGUGCGAAAGUGCUCCAGCCGCCGAAAGAAUCUCACGUGCAAGCUUUCUUACGGGAUUUGUCGAUGGGAUAAAGUUAAACGAUUCUACGGUCAAUGAGUUUGAACUUUCUUGGUUUUACCAGGAUAAUUAUUUGGUUCUUUUAUUAGCAGUAGCAUUACAGAUGAGACACAAAAUUGACCUGGCAUCUUACGGAACUCUGUAUCGCAUGUUCUGAAAUACCGGUCGAUCAAAACAAAUUGCGAGGGUGCUAACCGUCUGUGGCUAAAGCAUUGACAAAGAACAGAAUAAACGUGACAUCAUUGACUAAGUCUCCGUGCAGAUGUGCGGCAUUUUACCGCGCAAUCCCUUUGCGAUCUGUUAUAUCUGCCAUUGUUGUUCUUAAGAGGAAAACGAAGAAAGACACAUGAUAGCAACGAUAUCGAGCGGACAAGAGUGAUUUGCGGCAAAUCGCCGCAGCGACAGCGGGUUGGAAGAACAAAAAAAUGUAACAACGACUGGCAUCAGUGUGCAUAUUUGAUUAAACAAGAACAGAAAGGUUCUCUGCGUAGCGUUCUUUUUCUAUUCCCAUAUCGCACCCACUUACACGGUCUCACUCGUACCCUCUACCAUUUUUGUGUUACAUGCGACGUUAUCAAUUCGAUAUAGUAUAGUGAUUUGAAUUAAAAGUAAAGUUUUCUAUGAAAUUACAAAUAGAAUACGAAUCAGGAUAUGGUGUAAUUGUAAACGAAGCAUGGAAUUUUACACUUCUACAUAAGAAAUUCGCAACACAAUUUAUGGAUAACUCAAAUAGAUAAAUUGCGCACAAACGAAAAGAGCGAAAGAAUCAUCAACAACUUGCUUGUGUGGAUAAAGGUAUCGAUCAAGUACUUCAAUUUUCAUAAAUAUACUAAAACUAAGACUUAAAACUAACGAAGCAACUUAAAAUUAAGAUGUGAAAGUAAGACUUAAGACUAAGGUUAAAAUGUAAACUUCAAAUAAAGAGUAAGUCCCCCGUUGCCUCACACCGUCCAACAAUCAGGCUUAAAAUUAACGUAAUUUAGAUCUUAGAACUAAAACCUAUUUAAAUGUAAAACUAAACUAAAAAUAGAUAUUAGAUAGAUAUCAAUCUAAUGUACAUUAGAACGUGGCCAUACUGGCAGCUUUUCAUAUACUUUAACUUAGAACGAAAUUUAAGAAAUUAAACUAUAUAACACAGGUACUCCACGAUGUCCCUGCAAUAUCUCACGGUGUUCUACAACUGGUGCUAAUAAUUUAUUAACGAAUAUCUAUUGUAUGAUUAAUUAAAGCUAUGACGCACACAUUGCACGUUGUAGGCUGUUUAAGCUGAGAGUCAAAACUAAUAUCUAAACCUAAAACUUAAAAGGACGCAUAUACAACAUCUAUCUCCCACGCUACGUUAUAAACACAUUGUACAAU